GUUGGAAAAUCCCUGACUUUGCCUUUGCUGCUCUUACAGCACAUUUAAAGAUAAGUGCACUUACAACUUCAGUACGUGUCGGAUUUUGCACCUCUGAUUCAGCAGCAACCGUGUUCUUAAGGUUUAGUAUUUUCUCUAAUAGGUUUAGUAAUUUCUCAUUAGAGAAAAUGUACCUUCUUUGGACACAAUCAUGUUUGUUUGACAUGAAUAAUGGGGAUAGAAAAGGACCACUUGAAGGUGGAGGAAAAACAGAUUGUUCAACGUAG
rnacentral:lncRNA from 1 species